AUUGAACGCUGGCGGCAGGCCUAACACAUGCAAGUCGAACGAGUGGCGGAAGGGUGAGUAAUGUGUGGGAAACUGCCUUAUGGAGGGGGAUAACUACUGGAAACGGUCUCUAAUACCGCAUACCUUCCGAUGUGCCCAGAUGGGAUUAGCUAGAGGGUGGGGUAACGGCUCACCAAGGCGACGUUCCCUAGCUGGUCUGAGAGGAUGACCAGCCACACUGGAACUGUGACACGGUCCAGACUCCUACGGGAGGAAGCAGUGGGGAAUAUUGCACAAUGGGCGCAAGCCUGAUGCAGCAAUGCCGCGUGUAUGAAGAAGGCCUUCGGGUUGUAAAGUACUUUCAGCGGGGAGGCGUUACCCGCAGAAGAAGCACCGGCUAACUCCGUGCCAGCAGCCGCGGUAAUAC
rnacentral:rRNA from 1 species